GACGAACGCUGGCGGCGUGCUUAACACAUGCAAGUCGAACGAAGUGGCGAACGGGUGAGUAACGCGUAAUCAACCUGCCCUUCAGAGGGGGACAACAGUUGGAAACGACUGCUAAUACCGCAUACGGAAGGAGGGGAUGGCGUCUGAUUAGCUGGUUGGGGGGGUAACGGCCCACCAAGGCGAUGAUCAGUAGCCGGUCUGGGAGGAUGAACGGGCAAAUUGGGACUGAGGAACGGCCCAGACUCCUACGGGAGGCAGCAGUGGGGAAUCGUCCGAAAUGGACGGAAGUCUGACGGAGGAACGCCGGGUGAGUGAUGUCGGCCUUCGGGUUGUAAAGCUCUUUUAAUCGGGACGCGGUACCGGAAUAGAAAGCCACGGCUAACUACGUGCCAGCAGCCGCGGUAAUUC
rnacentral:rRNA from 1 species